CGGUGUUGUUGUUUCCAUAGGCAAGACACCAUACCCGUAUGCCUACUGAUGGUGAUCUGAGAGCCCCAUGGCACCAGUGUAUGGCAGCCUCGCUUCUAUUUAUUUGGACCGUAAUGAAGACGCGAAGGGCCCCGGGCUGUAACCGACGGCGACAGGGUGACACUGAUGAAUGGCUGAAGCCAAGGACAAAUCGACUGAGUCGACUCAAUGCUUCAAGCCUGGCAGCUUCCAGUCAUGCUGUCAAUCAAUGAAUCCAUACGAAGUCUGUCUCAUGCAGGGCUGGCAGAGUGCGGCACAGCACUUUGUGAACAACACAGAAAGACAUGUACAUCAUAAACAACAGUGAAGCUCCAGCCCAGUGUUUGCAAACUCUAACCCUGCCACUGUUGAAGAUCUGUGAUGCCACUACCAUAUUCCAUCGCUGCAAUGGUAUGUAAAAGUAAAAUAUGCUUUUUGCAGCGUAUUUUAUCGUAAAUUAUAAGAAAUUCCUACUUGUGUGAUGAAUCUCAGUAGCUCCUCCAAAGAAACAAAGGGCUGCUUCUCUAAUUAUAGCUCUCUUCACCUGGUCUGCCAGUUUAGAUGG